AAAGAGUACUGUCACUAACACACACACACAACACUCAUUUACUCAAAGAAAAGCCAUUGAAAUUAAAAAGGAAAAAAAAAAAUUCCCAUGGAGGCUUCAUUGAAAUUAGUUGUUUUCUUCACUCUUUUGCUGUCAUCUGGUAUGCUGUUCUCAGAUGUACCAACGAUGAUCGAGGCUCAACAAAAAAAGCUGAAAUGCAAAACCGAUGAGGAUUGUGUGAGGCAGUGUGCUACUGACUUACAUGUUUGUACCCCUGCUGGUUAUUGUGCAUGUGCCGGCAGCAAUCCUGAGUGUUGUUAAGGGCCUAUAAUUUUUACCCUAUUUCAUCUACAUCCAAUAUUAUUAAUAUGUAUGGAAUUUGUGGGCAAAAAAUGCCUUCUUGUUCGACGUUUUCAGUAAAAUAAGUAUUUACGAAUA